UGAGGAAUAUUGGUCAAUGGGCGUGAGCCUGAACCAGCCAAGCCGCGUGAAGGAAGAAGGUGCAGGGCAUCGUAAACUUCUUUUGCCGGGGAACAAUAAGCGGGACUAGUCCCGCGACGAGUGUACCCGGAGAAAAAGCAUCGGCUAACUCCGUGCC
rnacentral:rRNA from 1 species